GACGUAGGGGGCCAGCGUUGCUCGGAAUUACUGGGUGUAAAGGGUUCGUAGGCGGUGUGGCAAGUCGGGAGUGAAAUCUCUGGGCUCAACCCAGAGGCUGCUUCCGAAACUGCUGUGCUUGAGUGUGGGAGAGGCGCGUGGAAUUGCAGGUGUAGCGGUGAAAUGCGUAGAUAUCUGCAGGAACACCCGUGGCGAAAGCGGCGCGCUGGACCACAACUGACGCUGAGGAACGAAAGCUAGGGGAGCAAACAGG
rnacentral:rRNA from 1 species